GCACCCGUGCUUCAUAGGAAGACAUGGGGAAGGACUCGUACGAGGAAGCUAUUGAUGGUCUCAAGAAACUUCUCAGUGAGAAAGGAGAGCUGAAAGCUGCUGCAGCUGCAAAAGUGGAGCAGAUAACAGCAGAGUUACAAACAUCAACUUCUAAUGGCGCGUUUAACCCAGUUGAGAGGAUCAAAACUGGUUUCGUUCACUUCAAAAAAGAGAAAUAUGA